CUUUUUCGCCCCGCCCUUCAAAUGCGAAAGCGACUGCCUUCUUGGAAUCAGUCUUUUACAGGUCAAGUGCAGUAAACUAAAAUGUUCUCUCAGCACAAAGCAGCACUAGAAAAAGUAACAGUUAUAGAUGGGAGUUGACUAGUUUUGCAGUGGCUGCGCCAUCAAUAACAAACAGACAUCAGACGGUAUCCAUCCCAGAGCACAGACACUACUACAGACUAGAUGCGAAGAAUGCGUCACACUCUUGGCUGAUAAAUGUCCUUUGUCUUUGACUCUUUCUAGUUUGAAUGAAGUGGAUUUUUUAAAAGUUUAAAUCAGGUCACAUAAGUUGGCUGCUUAAAUAACAUCAUGAUGAGGUAUGAAAAGCUCUGAAUAUCCCUUACAUUCAGCAGGAUUUACCAGAGAUGUAUAAUAGCUUGUCAGGGGCAACUUCCAAAUAGUUUUUACACUUUGGGGUUAUAAUGAAUUCUAGAAGAGGACAAGUCUAAAAAGGUUUAAAAGGGUAUGCUCUGAAACAGAGGUGAGCAACCUUUUCCUUCAGAAUUCACUUUGAACAGCACAUCAACAAAAAAAUCUUCUCUGGUAGUGUAUCCCAACAUUGAGUCAAGAUGGCCAACUAGCACCGAGAAGUCGUAUUGAACUCAUUUGCAGUUGUCUUGGCAAUUAAGCGUAUUUUUUCAUUCCAGUCCAAGCACAAAUGUGGAUCACUGAACACAGUACUGGAAGCGCCAUUUGCAGGUACAGAUUGCAGUCAUCAUUAAAUGAGCCAGAAGGCAGAUACUGUUUUUAUUUUGUGUGGGGGGAGGGGGAAGCGGCACAGUACUAGCAGGAGAUGAAAUAAAAUGAUUAGGAAACAAUGAGGUUAUAAGAUCACUGUUCUUAUUUGGGUUAAGCAGGUCAUGUUGAGAAGAUGGUUAUUUCUUUCAGAUAAGGAUGCUACAUUAAAGGAAUCGUGUGCAGCAUGAAAAGAUUAGAAUCGAGCUGCACCUAAGAAAAAAAUCCCAAAGUUACUUUCAAAAGUAUGUGUUAUCUGCCAGUCACAGAGGGGAAAAGCACCUAGGGUGAACUCCAAUUUUUUAAUGAGGACCUUGAUCAGGACCACAAAGCCUGAAACAUUUAUUUUAAUGCAGAAACACAGCCCCUAGUUACACUGAUUGCAUUUGGGAAAAUUGGAGGGUUUUUUCGUCCUUAGUUUUUUUUAUUAAAUUACAGGAUAUGGUUUUCGAUUACUAAGUAUUCGAAAUCCUCAUACCAGCAACAGAAAUGAACCACUUCCAAAUUCUAAGACACAAAAGACCAAAGAGAAGCAAAAGCGAUACAAAUUAAUAUGUGCCCCUCUCCUUUCUGCUCUAAGGGAAUCUACAAACCAGUAUCACAUUUAGGAGUCAAAGUGUUAAUUCUUCAGCAUUCCUGACAACUAGAAAGCACAUUCACUGAAGGCUGAAGGUGAGGGAGUGGAUGGUUUAACUUUAAUAUCUGAAGAAUGGCGCCAAUAGAGGAAAGAAAACCAUCCAAUCUCAGUAAGGAUUAAUGCAAAUCUGGCUAGAAAAAGCCACCAGGUAAUCCAAGGGUUCACUGUGGAAGAACUCAUGAAAAGUACUCUGAAGUAUACACAACAGGUCUAAACAUCUCCCUUGUCGUAAGUAGUUGUGUAAAAUUCAAGAUAAAGAUUUAGUCUCAUCUUUUAAUGUCAGUUUUUUCCCCCAUGUUAAAGGGAAUGAGGAGGAGUCCUCUUUUAUUCCCCCACAAGAAAAAGGGAGCCACAUUAAUAUGUGUAUAUUCCCAUAACUCUAAUGUAAGUGCGGAUCUCCAAAGCCUAGGGAUUUUUCCGUAAAAGAGAGUGGGCCGUUCUGGUUACCCUUUUAUUAGAAGGGUAUUCCACCACAGAGAGCCGGAGGUUUUCCAGAUGUGUGUAAGAGAGCAGGUGCGCAAGGCAAGCAAAUGAGCGCAAACAGUAUUAUGGAAAACAUUUGAGAAGUUAGCUCCAUGAGGACUGUGGGCUCCACAAGAGGACUCGACUGGGUAGCCUGGUCUGACACAGGUACGUGAAAGCAGAGUAUUGCUUCAAAGCUGGAAACCUUCCAUAGGAGCCUCACACUGUUGGAAGAUGUACUGCUGCUGGUUAAGGUCAACCUGGGGUGCAAUGCUGCUGUCUUCAUCUUCGGUCCCGAAGUAAUGCUCAAUAAGAUCAAAGGCCUUUUGGUAGAUCUCCUGGUUUUCAUGACUCUGUAAGAACUCAAUUUUAUCCAGACCUAAAAUGAAGAAUAAAGGAAAAUCUUUAUUGAAAACUUCAAUAAAUAUUGGAAAUUCCAUAACUAUAUAUUCCUAAACUAUAUUUUGUCAUAUAUCUCUGUUCUUGAUGUAAAGAAAGAUUAUUUGUAUCUCAUAAGUAUUUUAUAAUAGCACAGAAAUGACUGCUGGGAUUACAUCUGAAAGCUAGUAUUAUAAACUGACAUCUUAAAUACAUAUGCAAGUAAUAUCCAGUCUGCAGAAGCAGCAAUUUCCUAACAGUCCUCUUUUCAUCCAGUGCCUAGCAGUAGUAGUAUUGUUUUUACUGAACUCUAUCUAUGACCCAAUUCAUUCUUGGCCAUAAACUUCUUCAACCAAAGCAUCUUACCAUAAGCUUCUUCAAUCAAAGCACAGUAAGGGUUAAUGCCAGUGCCAUUCCUUUUGGCUUCCUGUUCUCCAAGCCUCAGGAUAUUUUCCAAGCCAUUUAGGGCAACCUGUACAAUCUUAGAGUCCAUGACCGUGAGGAGAUCACAGAGCGGCUUGAUACAACCCAGUUCUACUAGGUACCUAAAUACAAAGAAUAAUGUAGUCAAACAAAACUUUUAAUUUUGUUAAACUUAUGAAAUUAGUGAGCAAGUCAUCCUCAACUUCACUGCAGAGACUUAAAAAAAAAAACAAAAAACAAGCACUCUUUCAACCAUACAAGCUAUACCUUUUCACAAAACAAAAACAAAAAACCCUCUAAAUAAAUUAUCCCAAACCAGUUCUCUGGCACCUUUCUCCAUUCUUUUCUCUUCACAAUUUAUGCAUUCCAAAAACAGGAAUACUUACUUAUUAAUACCUUGAAAUGAGCGACUCAUCAAAAUAGUAUAGGUUUGAGUAAUUUCAUCUUUGUUUCCAUAGAUAGCCACACCUCUCAAACAUGACACUCUUGGUGCUAAAAGCCAGCACAAGCCUGAUAAGCCAAAUCUUUCAAAGAUGAUUAGAAUUUUAGUAAAGUAAGUUGUGGGAAGAAUAAACAAAUGUCAGAGGAUUCUAGAACUGGUAUUUUUCCUUUAAUUCAAGCAGAAUGUAUAACCGUAUGUAAUCAAGAUUAAUCAUACUUGAACUUCAGAGACAUGAUUACUGUAUCACAUUCACAGUAAAUAGUCAUGUCAUUUUUUAUCAUUCUGGUUUCUCAAGUUGAGUACAGAGAGGCAGGGAUAAUGAAUCCAGUUGCAUUAUGUGAAUGUUUGGUAAGGUCAUUUUGAAACUUACUGCUAGUGCUAAUCUAUUUCUUUCUCACAUAUUGCUUUUUUGUGUGGGGGAGGAAGAAUUCAAAAAUAUAUAAAAAUAAAUCUCUAGCCAAACAAGAAAAAAGGAGAAAAGACAAAAUUACUAAUAUCAUGAAAGAGAAUCAUCACUUGAUCUCAUGGAUAUUAAAAGGAUAAUAAAGGAAUACUACAAACAACUCUAUGCUCACACAUUUGAUCAUUCAGAUGAUAAAAUGAACAAUUUCUUGAAAGACACAAACCACCAAAACUCAGUCAUGGAGAAAUGACUGAUGUGAACAGGCUUACAUGUAUUAAAUAAAUUGAAUCAUUAAUAACUUCCCAGAAUAGAAAACAUCAGGAUGAGGGUUUCACACUGGUGAAUUCUGGCAAACAUUUACGGACAAAACGAUACUAGUAUUCUACCAUCUCUUCCAGAAAACAAACAGUGGGGAUACUUCUUAACUCAAUCUUUGAGGCCAGCACUUCCCCAAUACCAAAAUUAAAUAAAGACAUCAUAAGAAAGGAAAAUUACAGACUAAUAUGUCUCAUGAACAUGAAUACAAAAAUCCUCAACAAAACAUUAUCAAAUCAAAUCCAAGAAUGUAUACAAAGAAUUAUAUACCAAGUGGAUUUAUUCCAAAUAUGCCAGGCUGAUCCGUCAUUUUAAAAAAAUGAAUCAAUGUAAUCAACUUACGAUCAUUUCAACGGAUGCAAAAAAGCAUUUAACAAAAUCUAAUACCUAUUCAUGAUAAAAACUCAGCAAACAGGCCAGGCAUGGUGGCUCAAGCCUGUAAUCCCAACUCUUCGGGAGGCCAACGCGGGUGGAUCACCUGAGGUCAGGAGUUCAAGACUAGCCUGGCCCACAUGGUGAAACUCCGUUUCUACUAAAAAUACAAAAAUUAGCCAGACAUGGCAGCGGGCACCUGUAUUCCCAGCUACUUGGGAGGCUGAGGCAGAAUUGCUUGAACACAGGAGGCGGAGGUUGCAGGAGCCGAGACCGUGCCACUGCACUCCAGCCUGGGCGAAAGAGCGAAACUCUGUCUCAAAAAAAAAAAAAAAAAAAAAAAGAAUCUCAUUUACAUCAGCAUCAAAAAAGUGUAAAUCUAAUAAAUAUGUACAACAGGAUAUAUAUGAGGAAAACUACAAAACUGAUGAUCUAAAAAAAAAAAUGGAGAAAUAUUCCAUGCUCAUGGACAAGACUCAAUAUUGUUAAGAUGGCAAUUCUUCCCAACUUGAUCUAUAGAUUCAAUGUGAUACUCCCAAACAAAAUCCCAGCAUGUUAAUAGAUACCAACAAACUGAUUCUAAAGUUUAUAUGGGAAGGCAAAAGGCCCAGAAUAGUCAAUACAAUACUGAAGAACAAAGUUGGAGGAAUGACAUUAUCAACUUACUAUAAUCUAAUCAAGACAGUGUGGUAUUGGUGAAAGAACAAACAAAAAACCAGUGGAACAAAAUAGAGGGCCCAGACAUUCACAAUACUUGAAUGUUUGUUCCCCUGAUGGUAUCCUAGAUGCCAUUUAGGCUUUCUUUUUUAAUUAUUUUUUUCAUUCAUUCAUUCAUUCAUGUAUGUCUGACUGAGUUAUUUCAAAAGACCUAUCUUUAAGUUUAGUAAUUCUUUCUUCUGCUUGAUCUGAUCCACUGCUGAAUAUCUCAACUGUAUUUUUAUUUCAUUCAUUAAAUUCUUCAGUGCUGGGAAUCCUUUUUUAUAUGUUAUUGUUGCUUUUUUAAUUGUGUGGUGGCAGGAUGGUAGGAGAUGCUCAUAACUUUUGUUUUGUAAAUCUGUAUUCUUUGAUUUAACCCACCACCACUACUACUGCCAUCAUUCACGGAUUCACCAAAAAUUGGAUAUUAUCAUACUUGUUUUUAUUAAUCUUUCUUACAUUUAUGUAUAGCUGACAUCUGUUUCAAUGUUUAAUAUUAGAAGGUUUUUGGGUCUAUAUUUUGAAGGUUGGGGAUGUUUCCUUGACCAGAAAUAUCACGUAGUAACUCAACUGAUUUAUAUUAAUUAGCCUAUGAUAAAAUUGGUUUUGAUAUAUACAAUGUUUCUCUUAAAGUCAAAGUUUCCUGGAACCUAUCAAUGACAUUAAGUGAGGACUUCCUAUACUGUACUACCAGUGUGUGUGUGUGUGUGUGUGUGUGUGUGGUUUCUCAAAUAAACUGUGUGUGUGUGUGUGUGUGUGGUUUCUCAGAUAAACUGUGUGUUUGUGUGUUUGGUUUCUCAGAUAAACUGCAAAUUCAUGCACAGACCCACACAAAAAGAAUAGAAAGCCCAGAAACACACCCGCACAAAAACAGUCAACUGAUCUUUAACAGAAUAGCAAAGGCAAUUAAAUGGAGAAAGGAUUCCACCUUUUCAACAGUGCUAAAACAACUGAACAUCCAUACAGAAAAAUAAUGAACCUAGACACAGGCCUUACUUUGUGUCACUCGUGAGCUUAGACAGGCCAAGUCUUCCCAAUACCCAAGACUGAGGCUUUCAUCCCAGUAUUCACCAGUCGAUUACUUAAUCAUCCUUGUGAAAGAACGACCUAUAGCAAGACUGACCUGCCACCUCCAAAAACACUGCAUUCUCUCACUUUUCCUCAUGCUAUUCUCCCCUCCAAAACUGCCAAUUCUCUAUACAAAUAGUAAGUUUCACUUCUUUGAUGAAUGUUUCUCUAAUUUCAGUUAAUAAUCCUUAUCCUUCAUUAAGAACAUGUGUUAUAUAUGUAUUAACAUUUGAUUAUAUUCAACCUAAAAUUCUAGAUGUUUCCUAAAACAUUCUUUUUUAUCUUUUGAGACAGAGUCUCUCACUCUGUCUCCGAGGGUGGAGUGCAGUGGCACGAUCUUGUCUCACUGCAACCAACCUCUGCCUCCUGGGUUCAAGCCAUUUUCCCACCUCAGCCUCCCAAGUAGCUGGAACUACAGGAGAACACCAACACGCCCAGCUAAUUUUUGUAGAGACAAGGUUUCUCCAUGUUAGCUAGGCUGGUCUCGAACUCCUGACCUCAAGUGAUUUGCUUGCCUUGUCCUCCCAAAGUGCUGGAAUUACAGACAUGAGCCACCACACCCGGCCAAGAUAUUUCCUAAAAUAUUCUAAUUGUUUCUUGCAUCCAAAUCUGGUAUCUGCAACAAGAAGCAGCAGAAGCCAGAUAGAUGUCUUUUAUAAGUGAUAAAGUCAGUUUGUUUUUUGUAAUUUGGACUGUAAUAUUUUUGUGACAUUCUUUCAAGAUAACUCUUCAUGUGGGGAAGAAGAAACUGCUAGGAGGUUGGUAAUUAAUUUUAUUAUAAAUAGCUAUGCUGAAUUUUAAAAAGGGACAGCAGCAAUUCUGCGCUUCUCUAACAGAGCAAAAUACUCCUGAAUACUUUCUCAUGAAAGAUGGCAUAAUAAAAUAUAUAUGUUUAUGGUUUAUUUCUUCUUCUUCUUUUUUUUUUUUUGUUGAAAUGGAGUCUCACUCUGUCACCCAGGCUGGAGUGCAGUGGCAUGAUCUCAGCUCACUGCAACCUCUGCCUCCCGGGUUCAAGCGAUUCUCCAGUCUCAGCCCCACAAGUAGCUGGGAUUACGGGUGCACGCCACCACACCUGGCUAAUUUUUGUACUUUUAGUAGACACGGGGUUUCACCCUGUUGGCCAGGCUGGUCUCGAACUCCUGACCUUGUGAUCCACCUGCCUUGGCCUCCCAAAGUGGUGGGAUUACAGACAUGAGCCGCUGCACCCGGCCUGGCUUAUUUCAAUUAAGAAAAUAUAUUUGCUAUAAAAUAUAGAGACAAUUAAUAACUAUAAAUGUGAAUUUGAACAUAAAGCUUAUUCAAAUAACUAUAGUACUUCAUUAUUUUUACCAUCUGGUGACAGCAUAAUUAAAAUCAUAGUACUCUAGAAUCAGAAUUUUGGAGGUUGGAAAAAACCUACAAGACAAAUGUGCUUCUGUCUCCCUGAAAUAACCUGCCCAUGAUGAACUUCACCAAAAUAGCUACUGCAUAUGUUAAUCUGUUUGUAAUUUUAUUCUUUCAGGUACAUAUUUCUUAUUUUCUCUACCUGAUAAAUUUCUGUACUUUGUUACUAUUUUUAUUUUUUAAUUCCAAACAGAACACUCAAAACUAGCAUCUGAUGAAUGCCUACAUUCAGUCCACAAAGCAACAAUGUAAGUAGUAGCUAUGUUUGUCUGAUAUUACGUAUGAGUAAGGAGUUAAUGCUUUAGCACUCAUUUGAAACCAUCUUUCCUUAAUUUUGGAUUCCCCAUAAAGUUAAGACUGGCUGAGUCUAGGCUAGGCUCCAUUUUUCUCUUCAUCAUUACUUUUUUUCCCUAUCUGAAAUACUAGAUGUCCUGAAUUUUGCAUUUAAUUAUAUGAUGCUCCUUUGAAGAACUGAUUCCCAUCCAUAUUUAUGUUUUCUUCCACUCAUUAAGCUUAUAAGCUGCUCGUCGGGCAUGAUGGCUCACACCUGUAAUUCCAGCACUCUGGGAGGCCAAGGCAGGUGGAUCGCCGGAGCUCCGGAAUUCAAGAUCAGCCUGGCCAACAGGGGAAAACUCCGUUUCUACUAAAAAUACAAAAAUUAGCUGGGUGUGGUGGCACUCACCUGUAAUCCUAGCUACUAGGAAGGCUGAGGCAGGAGAAUCGCUUGAACCCAGGAGGCGGAGGUUGCAGUGAGCCGACAGUGCCACUGCACUCCAGCCUGGGCAACAGAGAGACUCCAUCUCAAUCAGUCAAUCACUAAGCUGCUACCAAGGGAGCCAUUUAAGUCUUGAGCUGCUACAGCUCCUCCCUUUAACAAGAAUACCAUAGUACUUUAGAAGAUACCUGCCUCUACUAAAUUUGGCACUUCAUUCUCAGACAUACCACUCUUUCAAUUCUGAUCCAAUUCUACUAUUAAGACAUCUAAACUAAAAAGGGCAAGAGUGAGUUAUUAAACUUGGGCUCAAGUUCUACAAGUAACCUAUAUUACCCAAGAUAUUUCUGACAAGUAGCUCCAGAGUAGGUUGAAGCAAGGAUUUCUAUUGCCUCAAGCCUCGACUAUGCCUACUUCUUAUAUCCCAGGAUUGUUUUUCAGCAAAAAGAAAUGGGAGAGUUAUAAAGAAUUAAAUACACAUCUAAUUAUGACACCAAGGACAAUUUCCUAAGGACUGGAACUAAACAUUCUUAUUUGGUAAGAUCGUCUCUCACUUACUUUUCCCCUCAAAGGCAGCUAAUCUUUUACUCUAGGUAAUAUGUGGGAGGUUAUAAAGUGAUAGACACAAUAAUAAUUUUUCUUUAACUUACAAUAUGCUGCCUGAUUGGUACUUACUUGAUCUGUUCAGCUGAUCCUCCAGAAGUUGCAUUUGUGAUGGCCCAAGCUGCUUCUUUUCUUGUCCGAAAUUCAGCAGUUUGUAAAAUACUAAUGAGGGCUGGGAAAAUGUUGGCAUCUAUCACAGUCUAAAAUUAAAGAAAAACUUAAAUGGAAAAAACUGUGAGAUUUAUAAAAAUAUUCAUGAUACUAAUUAUAAUUUCUAAGCUAGUUUGACUAUUAACACCCCUUCUCCUGUCAGAAAUAAAUUGAAAAGAGUUAUGUCAUUAUCUCUAACCUUUUUUUUUCUUUUUUGAGAUGGAGUCUCACUCUGUUGCCCAGGCUGGAGUGCAGUGGUGCAAUCUCAGCUCACUGCAGCUUCCACCUCCUGGGUUCAAGUGAUUCUCCUGCCUCAGCCUCCCGGGUAGCUGGGACUACAGGUGCACACCACCAAACCCGGCUAAUUUUUGUACUUUUAGUAGAGACAGGGCUUCACCAUGUUGGCCAGGCUGGCCUUGAACUCCUGACCUCAGGUGAUCCACCCACCUCGGCCUCCCAAAGUGCAGGGAUUACAGGUGGGAGCCACCGCACCCAGCCUAUCCCUAAUCCUUAUUCUGUCUUGGUAUCACUGAAAACAUCUUCCCUGGAGUUUAUGAUCUUAUAAUCUCCUAUUUUCUCUGAGUUCUUUUCUCUUUCACUUUCCUCUUUUGUUCUGCCCACAGUAACAAAUUGUUAAGAGCUCAAUUUUCUGCUCCUCUGCUAUUCCAUUCUCUCAUAGCAUGUGAACUUCCAUGUGCGAAAACUCUCUAGUCCUCACUUCUCACUGGAGCAUCAGCCCAGGGUAGCCAGCAGUUUACGUUAGGUCUGCUAGUCAUCUCAAACACAUCAUCUGCCCGCUAUAUCAAGUUUCCUUUUAAACCCCUCUAGUUCACAAAGGCUAUUAAUUUACAUUCUCAAUUUUUAAAAUCCUGAGUCCAUCUUUUUCCUUUCCUUUGGCAUUGCCAUGCUAUUCUCCAAGCCACCACCUCCCAGAUUACCAAAAUAAGACUUAUAGUUGGAUGGAGUACUUUUACUCAAUCCCCUUCAUGUACUAACACUAAAGUAGCCUUCCCAAAAUUACUUUCUCCCUGUUUCUUCCUGGCUCAAGUACCUAACAUGGGUUUAUAUCAUUUCCUACAUUAAGAAACUGAGAAGUUCUGCAUAAAAAAGCCUGGUGGUGACAGGCAAUCAAAUACAGAUGAAAUCACCUCAUAUGAAUGCUAUAGAUUGUUAUAGCUAUUAAUCUCAGUUCCUAAUUCAGCAUUUUGGGGACAAAAUGCUUUCCUGGUCAAAAACUCUUAUUAUACCUGUGAAGGACGUCAACAAAGUUUGACAAAGUUGAUUACUGGAAAGACACCUAAUCCCGGUCCUGUCAUUUUACUAGAGGUGCUCUUGAGCAAAUCAUUUUAAUUCCAUGAGCCGUUUCAUCUUUUUAUUCAAAUUUUUUAUUGACAAAUAAUAAUUGUAUAUAUUUAUGGGAUACAAUGUAAUGGAUGCUUCAAUACACACACACAAACACACACACACAAAAUUGUGGUAAAUGAAAACCUUGGAUUAGAUGAUCUCUCUGUUUCCAUUCAUCUCCAAGGCCCUCUAUGUCUGUGUUAUAUCUUUUCCUACCCACUGUUCCAUCCUUGAACAUUGCCCAGGCUGAACACUUUGGCCCACUGCUUGUCGUCCACUUGAGUUACUCUCCCACCAAUACAAAGACAAAAGUAAAAACCAAGUAACUAUUUAAAGAAAAAUGGGUAUCCAAAAAUUCAUGAAAAUUUGAGGCAAUCUACAUGGGUCCACUGGAAAAAUAAAUAUCUUACUUGGAAAGCGUUAAAGCCAAUCGUGCUCAGCAUAAAGCCCAUCAAAACAUUUUGAAAAUACAAGACAUUAUUUGUUGCAAGAAGUCAGGGACCCUGAAUGGAGGGACCAUGAAGCCUGGCAGAAGGACAUAAAUUGUGAAGAUUUCAUGGACAUUUAUUAGUUCCCCCAAAUUAAUACUUUUAUCAUUUCUUACACCUGUCUUUACUGCAGUCUCUGAACAUAAACUGUGAAGAUUUCAUGGACAUUUAUCACCUCCCCAAUCAAUACUCUUAUAAUUUCCUAUGCCUAUCUUUACUUUAAUCUCUUAAUCCCGUCAUCUUCAUUAAGCUGAGGAUGUAUGUCGCCUCAGGACCCUGUGAUGAUUGCAUCAUAAAGCAUGUGUGUUUAAACAAUAUGAAAUCUGGGCACCUUGAAAAAAGAAGAGGAUAACAGCGAUGUUCAGGGAACAAGGGAGAUAACCAUCAGGUCUGACUGCCUGAGAGCUAGGCGGAACAGAGCUAUUAUUUCUCUUCUUACAAAAGUGAAUAGGAGAAAUAUUACUGAAUUCUUUUUCUCAGCAAGGAACAGUCAUGAGAAAGAGAAUGCGUUCCUAGGGGGAGGUCUCUAAAAUGGCCACUCUGGGACUGUCUGUCUUAUAUGGUUGUGGAUAAGGGAUGAAAUAAACCCCGGUCUCCCUUAGCGCUCCCAGGCCUAUUAGGACGAGGAAAUUCCCGCCUAGUAAAUUUUAGUCAGACUGGUUGUCUGUUCUCAAACCCUGUCUCCUGAUAAGAUGUUAUCGAUGACAAUGCAUGCCUGAAACCUCAUUAGCAAUUUUAAUUUCGCCCCGUGCUCUGCCAUUUGCCUUGUGAUAUUUUAUUGCCUUGUGAAGUAUGUGAUCUCUGUGACCCACAACCUAUUCGUACACUCCCUCCCCUUUGAAAAUCACUAAUAAAAACCUGCUGGUUUUGCAGCUUGGGGGGCAUCACGGAACGUGCCGAUAUGUGAUGUCUCCCCCAGACAGCCAGCUUUAAAAUUUCUCUUGUACUCUUUCCCUUUAUUUCUCAGACCGGCCGACACUUAGGGAAAACAGAAAAGAACCUACAUGAAACACUGGAGGUGGUUCCCCUGAUAACUAUUUCUUGGGUCUUGGUGAAACAUCAAAUAUUAACGGCAACAGAAAAAAUGAAGGCUUAAGUGUAAAUUUCAAAAGACUUAACAUCUAUAAGCUAGGAUAAAGUAAAAAGCUGACUAUGAAAUAAGACAACAACAUUGAAAGUGGUCUUCAAAGCAAUAAUGAAAACGAUAUACGUUUUAUUUUGUUUUGAGAUGGAGUCUUGCUCUGUCACCCAGGAUGGAGUACAGUGGCACAAUCUCGGCUCACUACAACCUCUACCUCCACGGUUCAAGUAAUUCUCCUCCCUCAGCCUCCCGCGUAGCUGGGACUACAGGCACCUGCCACUGCGACUGGCUAAUUUUUUUGUAUUUUUAGUAGAGACAAGGUUUCAGCAUGUUGACCAGGAUAGUCUUGAACUCCUGACCGCAAGUGAUCCACGGGCCUCAGCCUCCCAGAGUGCUGGGAUUACAGGCAGGAGCCACCGCACCCAGCCAAAAACAAAUGUGUUUUAAAGGGUGACUGAGAAAAAAACCUUACUUUUCAAUAAAAAUACUGAAAGAGAAGUUAGGUCCUAUGAGGUUACCUGGAUCUGUGCCCUAUUUCCAGCUGUAAUAUUAGAUAUCGUCCAACAUGCUUCCUUUUUGAUAGAUUCCUUUGGGCUACUCAGCAAAUGCAAUAAACUCUGCAGAGCUGAGCAAUUCAGAAUUACCUAAAAGAAAAAGUUUGAAAAUUUUACUUAUUGUAUUGUUCUAAAUAUCAAUGUUUAACUUAAGGAACACAUUUUAUGAAAGACAUAACAUCUCCCCUUGAAAUUUUAUAAAUAAGUAACUUUAUACAGGUAAAAAAAAGUAUUCACUGUUAAUAAGAAUUAGUUUCUAAGAGUAUCAGUACAGUUUCAUUGUACACAUUCACAACUGCUAAACUGUACUUAAUAAGAUACAAUAAUGUUACUAUUGUAAUUACAAAAGCAUUACUCAUUCACCUUCCCAUCCCAAUAGCGUAAGUCUUCUGAAUGGGUAAAUAUAUCAAGUGGCCAGAAAAGUCAGGAGUCUCAGAUUUGUAGGUCCUCUGAUAACACACUACUUGGUAGUCAAUGAACGAAUACGUACUUAAUGAGGUAUAUUAGAUGCUUUAUAGGAUACAAAGAUAAAAAAGAUAUGACCUCAGCUAUCAGUUUAUAAAGGUGAAGGAGGUAACACAAAUACACAUGAAGAAGGAGACCUACUCUACUAGAAACUAAAAUAAUAUAAGUUUGAUUAAAAUAGUAUAUGGCAGAUUUAAGAAUUAAUCACUAAACAGAGAACAGAGAUCUAUUCUAGAAACAAAUGCAGCUAUUUAUAAAGUUUAUAAUAAGUUAAUCCUUUCUUCCAAUGACUUGUGGCUAUGACAGAACUGGAAUAAAAAGCUAAACAGAUUAAAGACAAUUUUUUCAAUAUCAUUUCUUAACCCUGAUAUGGUUUGGAUCUGUG
rnacentral:lncRNA from 1 species